CCGAGGGCCUGCAGCCGAGGGGAGGGGCAGGGCGGGCAGGCGGGGGACGGGGACGCGCCCUCCCGACAGCUGCGCCGCGCCCUGCCCCGCCGAGUCCUAGCGGGCCGGCCUUAGGUAGUCAUUCCUCCCGAAUUAAAGCUGGCUCUGACUCCGGGCUCCUCAAACCUUUCUGACACAGCAGUUUCCGAGCAGCCCUCCUGGCGUGGGUUAGAGGAAGGUCGACAGCCGCCCUGGAGGGCCUUGGGGUUGGAACUUCUGGCCCCGGCCGGCUGCGGCCGGGGGAAGUGACAGGCUGGGGAAUGGAAGGGUGACACACUGCGACACACUCAGCGGCUCCGGGGCCCGACCUGGGCACGUAGUGCAGGAGACUCCUCCCCCCCUCCCCCCCGCCUUGGGUGGGGGUAGGAAGAAGUGUGGAAGUACUCGCCGGGUGGAGACAUCGCAGCUUUCAUUGCUCUCAAGUUUUGCAAAAUGAAUUCUCACUAAGCAAUCUGGGGUUUAUUAAAUUGUGAUAAAAUGUAUUGGGACUUUACGUGCAAAGUAAAAAGCGAUUUUUAUGGCAUUCAUGGAUUGUGCGCUGUGUAGUAAAGUGAGAAGUUAAUGUAGUCCGGGGCUGAGGGGUGGGUUUUUUUGUUGUUGUUAAAGUUAUGUUUUUAAAAAAUACUUAGAAACACGUUCUCUUAGGAAAAAUGAUCAAGUCUCACACUUUCACUUGUUUGAGGUGAUCAGUUACUUGAUUUUUGUAACACGUCUGGAAACGUGCAUGUUUAUAAAGGAUCUAAAAUGAAUAAUUGUUUUGGAGGAAUUUGGAUUUCUCUGUUCCCUUUAGAUGACCGAGUACACGACGCAGUAUUACAAAGGUAUUGAUCCUCAAUAAAUAUUUGCUGAAUGAAUGAAUGAACAUUCCUGGCAAGCAUUUCAGCUUGAUUACCUUACCAAAGACAACAGAACACGGCCUCUCAGAGCAUCCCCUUCCAUGUUUUAACUUCCUCAACACUGGCUUUCAGAUGGCAACUGAACCUGGUUGGAAAUGUGUGGGACCCUCUGAAUUCAACCCAUGAUGGAAUACACAUCUCACUAGGGUUGGAAAGUCCCAGGUGCUUCUGCACUUCACUGGCUCUCCAGAUGUGGUAACCCUUAUACCUUGGAAAACCCCUACUUCAUCAGGAGAAUUCAAAACAUUGGGCAUCACCUCCCUAACUCUCAGCCCUUCCUACCUGCCUCCUCCCACACCCUGGCUUCCCUUCCCACUGUUGCCGAGGGAAAAGUGGCCCUCCAUUGGUGCCACUGAUAAUCGAUGGAAAUCCACCGUCCUGUCUGCGCAGAACAAACUCCUUCCAAUUACCUCCAUUUGUGGGCAUUUGAUUGUAAGACUAAUGUGCACAAGAGGAAACAGGCAUCUCAGCCACUGUGGAGGCCGGGCAUCAUGCCAGUCCUAUGGGGCGUCCUCAGAAAGCUGGAACUGUUUGGCUUUGGUUACCAGAACAGCACCACCACCCACAAGUUCAGAAACAAACGAAAUAUCAGUGUGGGAAUCUUCUUCUAUUCUUUGUUAAUUCCUCCAGCCUAACUAAAUGAAUUUCAAAGAAGAGAAUCAGAUGGACAUCCAGGAAGAAGAAACAAGCCACCCCAAAGGGGAAAAAGAGGCUCGUCUUCAGCUGGAGACUUGACAGUGAAAAUGGUACUCACCUUGCCAGUCUGCUCUGGGUUUCUAAAAGAGAGACAGAGGUGUGGAAUAGAAGACCAGGGGAAGCCUUGUGAUACUGGACCAGAAUUAGAGGUAUUAGUAUGAUGAUAUUUAUAUAAACUGCACAGCUCCUGCCUGUUGGGGGCCCUGACUUGAAGACUCCAGCUGCCCCCACCUCUGAUCUCCUCCUCCUUAGCUCAGAGGGACUGCCGUUCUCUGCUUGGAUUCCAGAUUGCUACACUGCAGUCAGGAAAUUUUCCCCAGGCAGAGAGCCAGGAUGUCAUGAGGCUCACCUCUUAGGUUUCCCUGCCUUCUGGGAUUGAUUGCAGGCUUGCGUUGCUUACUCUGUAAUGUGUUGCUGCUUCUCCGAUGUCUGAAAACACUUGCCUUAGACAUUCUCUAUAGUUUUAUAGUUAAGAGUACCAGAUCCUCCAUUAUAGACAAAAGCAGAAAUGCUGAGCUAUAUAUUUGAUAACAGUGUUACACUAAUGUUAAAGGCCCUGAAAUUGAUCAUCACAGCGUGGUUAUAAAAGAACUCCUUAUUCUUAGGAUAUACAUGCCAGAGGACUUGAGGUAAAGUUGUCUACAACUUACUCUGAAAUGGUUUGGUCAAAAUAAUAAUAUUGCUACGUUGCAAAUAGUAAUAUUACAUAGAUUUGUAGAGAGAGCAAGAGAGAGAUUGAUAAAAUAUGUAUGAAAAAUACUGUUGGGGCAAGUCUAGAUGAAGCAUCACACUAUUUUUGUUAACUUUUGUAGAUGUUUGAAACGUUUUUACAAGAAAUAAUAAACAAAACAUUUCCUUGA